UUCAGUAUCAGUCAUGGUAGUUAUAAGUAAACCAUGUAUUAGCUUACAGGUCAUGCUAUCACGUAUUCAUGGUCCCAGUUUCUAUAUAUGUGUGUUUGCACUCCCACGUUCAUAUUAGUCAGUCAGUGUUAUUCAUGCAUGAAACCCUACCUUCCUCGUAUACUCAGUACUCUAGUUGUACUGAUGCAUUUUCGCUAUGGUGCUUUCUUUUCAUGUUACAUCAUAGGUUCCGAG
rnacentral:lncRNA from 1 species